UACAGGGGGUGCAAACGUUGCUCGGAAUCAUUGGGCGUAAAGCGCACGUAGGCGGUUCGUUAUGUCGGAUGUGAAAGCCCUUGGCUUAACCGAGGAAGUGCAUCCGAAACUGGCGAGCUAGAGUACGAAAGAGGAUCGCGGAAUUCCCGGUGUAGAGGUGAAAUUCGUAGAUAUCGGGAGGAACACCGGUGGCGAAGGCGGCGAUCUGGGUCGAGACUGACGCUGAGGUGCGAAAGCGUGGGGAGCAAACAGG
rnacentral:rRNA from 1 species